rnacentral:lncRNA from 1 species
GAACUCAGCCUGAGACCCAGCCUGAGUCUAACCAGACUCAGACACAAGAGUCAGUGUCUGACCACGUGAUUCCUGCACCUGCCACCAUUCCAGUCCCCAGAGCUGAGGUCUCCAGACAUCAUGAUGUCAUGUAGCAGAGAUAAGCUAUGCCUGUAACAGAACCAGGGAGCAUAAUAAAAUAGUGGUUUCACACCCCCAAGUUAGGGAGUGUUUGUUACCCAGCAUAGGUAACUGAAAAACAUGCCUACCCAUUUUCUAGAUGUACCUAUUUCUGCUGGGAUAGUUAAGUCCACCAGUAUGUUGAUAAUAUCUUUAAAUUUUUAAAAAAAGAUAAAACCAUUGCCUUAAUAAGUACUUCCAACCUUGGUAAGAUUUAGAGGUAAACCGUUGAUGAAAUAAAGCAAGCUACAUAUGCAAAUUCUGUUUAAAAUUCAACACUGAUUCAUUCUAAAUUACAUUUUGUGCAUAUUGAGAUUCUGACAGAUUUGCCUUGUAAUUCCAUUUUAAAGUAGGUAAUUCAAUAAUUGGUUUUAAAUAAGUAAUCUUAAAGUCAAAGGUACAUCUUUAUGUGUUUGGGGGAAUUUAAAUAACUAAAUUGUAAAUUGGACUCUUUAAGGAAGUCUAAUGUCAUCAACUUUAGUUCAUUGAAUAUUUAUGUCACAUUUAUAUAAUAAAUUAAGGCCAAAACAAUACCCUUUAAGAAGAUAGAAACGAUGAUCAAUAGGAACCUUCCUUGCAACCCAUUAUAAUCAGCUCAGGGAUUUUACCCUCCCCGCACCCCGGCCUGAUGGCUGGAGCAGAAAGGCAAUGAAGACGUUAAAGUUAGGGCUGACCGCUUCCUAUUCAGGCCCAGUUUUUGUGGCCACAGAGUGUCCAACAUAAAUCAAAAGACCAUAUAAUUUGUCAUGCAAACCAGGACUGGUUUUUUUUCAAAAGAAAAGGGGAAUUAUUAAAAUUUAAACAAGAAUGGCAAGCAUAACCUGGGGGUUUCUGGGAAACCAGGACUUAUAUCCAGUCCUUCACCGGGGUACCACAUCUGGGUGAGCCUCAGCCAAUGAAGCAUAAACUUCAGGUCUCUCACUUGCACUGGGUCACAGCGGUUCACUGAAUUUUAAUCAGAUAAAACAUAUAGGUGACUAUUCUCAGCUUAUUAUUGAAAUCUAAAUAUUAAUUUUAUAGACAGAUAUUAAUUUAAGAUGUACACAAUUCUAAAUGAACUUUACAUGCACAAAAAAUAUGCCCCUCUUAUGAAUGUUAAAAAAAUUUACAUUGAUAAAAAUAUUGAAGGAAAACACCUUAAAAAGUUGAAAAAGGGCAGAAGACUAACAAUUUUUUCCCCACAAGGCAAAUGCCAGAGUUAGACCCUCAGGGAAAGACCAGUUUCCUGCAAUGAGGUUAUUUGCAUAACUCAUAAUGAAAAGAAUAUGAAAAGGAAUAUAUAUAUAUGUAUAUAUCUACACAUAACUGAGUCACUUUGCUGUACAGCAGAAAUACAACAUUGUAAAUCAACUAUAUGUCAAUUUAAAAAAUUUUUAAAGCAAUUAAAAACAAAACAAAAAAGAUUAUUUGCAGCUUCUGGGGGAUAUGCUGAAUGGCUCACAUUGUUUCCUUCCAGAAAAAAACGAUGGCCCCUUCUAAUACUGAACAAACAUAAUUGUCGGUAAUUCCACAUUGUAUAAUACCAAGAGAUUCUAAGCUACAAUUUGGAACAGUGUCCUCUUAUUUAUUUAUGAGUACAAACUAAAAACAGCUGGUUAUCAGCCUUUUCUCUCUAUAAAGACAUUUGAGUCAUUAUUCAUUCAUGUGAACUGCAUACUUUGUAUCCAAGAUAACAGUGUUGGAUACUUAUACUCUAGUUUUACAUAGAUGAGGAUGAAGGAACAAGAGUUUUUAAAAGUUUGUGAGAAUAGUUCUAACCAGAAUUCCAAGGAGAACUGUUCCAAAUUCAUUUGAAUUUCUUGAGAGUAGAGACCCAAGUAUGAAGCCAUGGAUUAAAUAAACAUCUUUGGCUGUNNNNNNNNNNNNNNNNNNNNNNNNNNNNNNNNNNNNNNNNNNCUCUUUCAGUAUAAUUCUUACUUCCUCACCCCAUAAGCAUUUUUUUCUUUUUCUGGAUUAAAAAAAAAUUCUCCAAAUUCACCUUAAGUUGUGGGUCCCAAACUGAAUACCGCUGAGCAAAGAGCAAUUUUGAACUUCCACAGAGAAUCUAAAUUAGGAAAAACCCCUGCUAGUAAACAAAGAAACAGAACAAAAUGACAUGCAAAACAACAACAAAACCCGCAUUUCUGAAAUCAGAAACAGUUACAAGACCCAAAAGUCCAAUGAGAGGGAAAAAUGAGAACCAUAAUAGAAAUCUUAAAGUGAUAGGAAGCAAAACUGUAAACAGUUUUAAGAUCCUGUUUCUCUUUGUAGAGAUAAUGUAAACUAACUGUAGGGAGAGAGGAAGGAAGGAAGGAAGAGUGAAAAAGAUCUAUCUCUAAAGGCCCGGAGAGGAACAUCUGAGCUCACUAUGUGCACACGCACAUGGCGGGGCUGGUACCCAGGUGUGCUGCCCACACUCAUCUUCUCACAGCCAUUAAAGUGCAAGUGCUAGUCCUGUCAUCACUUUUCACAAGAAAUGUAUCCUCAAGUAGCAUUUAGUUUUUAUCUUUUGGACUAUUUUUAAAAAGCUCUGGAAGGGAUCACAUGGCACACCAUGCUGCAUGUGGCCUCCAUGUGACCCCAAGUUCCACUGAUGCUUUCCCACCCAGAGUCCCUCCCAGCCCUCUCCCACCCCAGCUCUUUUCUGUCCUUUCCCCAGCUGUGUCCAGUCUCACUGUCACAUGUUUCCUUUCCUUGCAUAUCCGUCCCCACAACCCAACUGUGAGAAGCGGGUCAGCCUGGGUUCCUCUCUGCCUCUGGCGGGGCUGUGAGAAAGUGGGCUCCGUGAAGGAGGAACUGGGUGUGUUUAGGGCUUGUUGAAUCUCCAGCACCUCAGCAAAUACAAGACAUAUCAUCGACACUCAACAAAUGACUGUUAAAACGAAUGCAUGAUUGAGAAAAAUCAGUACACUCACACAAAUGACAGCAAAUUUCAAAUCAGCUAUAGAACACUCUGCUCUCCCCCUCCUCCCAUCACAGCUAGAAAGCAGAGAGAUAAGCAAUAACAGUGCUCUCAGUUUUACCUGCCCCAAGAAAAACAGUUGCAACCCCUGCAGAUUGAUUUUGCUAAUUCAUUCUCUCGUGAAAAGAGGACAAUCACGUCCUUAAAGGAUUUAUAUGGUUGCUGGUAACACCCAGUCCAGCCUACUGCUGGGCUAUAGGGAUGAUUCUCACCUUUUUCCCUGGAAACAUUUUCUCAGGGAAGGCAAAUUAGCAGAAUGCUUUAAUGAAGUGGGUGCGAUGGGAGGUUCUUUCCAGGGGAAUUUAUAACUGAUAUUAGAUCAGAUGUGACAGUACAUUAUUACAAUUUAAAGGUGACAACCCCUGCCCUCCAAAAAAAGAUGGUAUUCCCAGAGUGUGUUUUCUCCCACUGGUUUUCCUCUGAGUCAGAACAGCAUCAAGUGAGUGCUAUGCUGCCUGCUUUUCUUCCCUUGUGGAGAAGAGUCAGAUGAUCUGCAUAUGACUUUUCUCUCCUUACAGGACUGAAAUCUGUUUUCCACACCUAAAUUUUGGAGGGCUGGUGUUGGACUCUCCUCAUAGGGAAAGUCUAUCACAAAAUGUCCAUCCUCUUCACAAGAGUGACCAGAAAAUGGACAGGCAUUUCUGCUCCAUAGAGUCCCAGGCAGUGUGAUGCUAGUUUGUGAGACAUCACUGGAAUCUUACCUGGACAGACCAGGUGAGGCUGCAGAGGGCGCACUCCAGGGGUAACUUGCUGCAUCAUCUGGAAGGGUCUUUUCUCCUUCCUGUGGGAGGAAGUGCACAUCAGAGGAUAAGCUGAAAGCUAUGAGACAUACUGCAAAUUAACUUCUAGAACAACGGUCUCUGAUUUUAAUCCCACUCGCACCAUAUGAAUCAACACACUUUUCCAUGUCCUUGUCUCGCUGGAUAUUGCCAUUGUUUUGGGUAUUGCCUAUUAGAUAAGUAAAAACUAUUAGUGUGUCUACAUACAUAUAUAUAUGUUUAUAUUUCUUUACCAGUAUGGCUGGCCUUUAGUUCAAGUAUUUAUUGCCAUUUAUAGUUCUCUUUCUUUAUUUUCUUUAAUUUUUUUGGGCCACACCUACAGCAAGUUCCCAGGCUAGGGGUUGAAUCAGAGGUGCAGCUGCCAGCCUACAUCACAGCCACAGCAACACCAGAUCCUUAACCCACUGAGCAAGGCCAAGGAUCGAACCCACAUCCUCAUGGAUACUAGUCGGGUUUGUAACCUGCUGAGCCACAAUGGGAACUCCUUUCUUUCAUUUUUCUAUUAGAGCAUUUUAAAAUUCAUUUAUAUGAACUCUUUGAAUAUUGAGAAAUUAAUAUUUACCUGUCAAAUUUUAUGCAGGUAAUUUUUCCCAGUUCAUCAUUUGUUUUUCAGUCUUAUUUGUGGUAUAUUAACACCAGGAAGAAUUCAGUUUUUUAAAAAUAAUAAUUUAAUCAAAUCCACCAACAUUUCCUUUUAUGAUUCCUUGAUUUAAAUCAUUUUUAGAAGUGUAAACUAGGGGCAAGUAAGGCAAUCCCUAAAUUUAUGGCAUUCACUGCUGAAAAACUUUAUUUCAGAGAUGUUUGGGUUACUAGAGAGGGACCCUUCCAGGGCCCUGGUGUGGGCUCUUGUCUCACACUCAGAAAGGAACUGUCUGAGGAGAUACACAAGCUGACAAGACAAAAGGCUUUAUUGAAAGGAGCACUCAAGGAGUUCCCAUUGUGGUGCAGCAGAAAUGAAUCCUACUAGGAACCAUUGGGGUUUCAGGUUCGAUCCCUGGCCUCACUCAGUGGGUUAAGGAUCUGGCAUUGCCAAGAACUGUGAUGCAGGUCACAGAUGCAGCUUGGAUCCAGCAUUGCUGUGGCUGUGGGGUAGGCCAGCAGCUACAGCUCCGAUUUGACCCCUAGCCUGGGAACAUCCAUAUGCCUUGGGUGUGGCCCUAAAAAAAAAAAAAAAAAAAAAAAAA